rnacentral:rRNA from 1 species
GACGUAGGGGCGAGCGUUGUCCGGAUUUAUUGGGCGUAAAGAGCUCGUAGGCGGUUUGUCGCGUCUGCUGUGAAACCCGAGGCUCAACCUCGGCCUGCAGUGGGUACGGGCAGACUAGAGUGCGGUAGGGGAGAUUGGAAUUCCUGGUGUAGCGGUGAAAUGCGCAGAUAUCAGGAGGAACACCGGUGCGAAGGCGGGUCUCUGGGCCGAUAUCGACGCUGAGGAGCGAAAGACGUGGGGAGCGAACAGGA